AGUUUAGUUGGCUUUUGUCGAAUACGGUGCAUCUUGUUCUGUUCUGUGCAGCAUUGAGCGCAACCACAGAAUAUGACUAUAGGCCUGCACCAAAUAUAUGAAACCUACACAUGUAGGAUAUUGCCUUUGUGAUGUUUUAAUGUUAGAUAUCACAAUGUGCACUACUUUUUGACUAUAGGCUAUUGUUGUAGGAAGACAGAAUGGAGCUGCAAACAUGUUAAGUUGGAGCUGAGCAUCCUAACUUAACAUAGUACCACAUCUUUCUCGUUUUGAACAGAAUUACAUGUUGAAUAAGAAAUUAUAAUUCAUGUACAUAGGGUAGAGUCCAGCAAAAAUUCAUUUCUCUAGUUAGAUUAGAUCUCACUUGCAGAUUUGGCCAUGCUCCAAUUUGUUCCAGUCGCUUCACUGAACACAAACCAUAUCCUAUAGAUUUAUUUUAACUUUAACUCCUUCUGCUCUAGGCCUCUAACUACCGCGGAAACCACAUUCAUUCUCAUUAGAUGUGCAUUAGUAUGAAGGACACACACAUACUCCCUCCGUCCGGAAGUACUUGUCCUAGAAAUGAAUGUAUCUAGACUUAUUUUAGUUAUAGUUACAUCCAUUUUAUUCAUUUCCAGGACAAGUAUUUCGAGACGGAGGUAGUAUAUGCUAAGUUUAGGUAGUCUGUACAACUGCAAAAUAUUUAUAGCCUUGUGAUAAGACAUCAUAUUUCACAUGCAGGAUUUAGCAGGUAAGUCUGACUUCUCACUUGAAUGCACCUGAAAAUAAACCUUGACUUCUGACUGUUGCAACAAAGCUACAUUUUAAGUGCAGUACAUAUCAAGCAUAAAAUGAAAGAGAUCACUUAAGAGGAGAAAAUGUCCAACAUUGUAGUAAUUUUGUAGUUAGAAAAAUCACAGUAGGAUUCCUAGAACGGGCCGACCUCAGAUCUUGGAAGAUGUCAAAGCUUGGGACUUGCUCAGGUUUGAGAGAUGCAGAUCAACCUUUAUGGCCAGGCUGUGAACCGGCUUCGCCAACGUCUUGAGACCAAGCCAGAUCAGAUUGUUGGCUGAGCUUACACCCUUCAGAAAAUUCGAAAGAAUGAGGAAAUUUUGCAAGUGGAGACUAGAAGGAUUGUUCUAAACUGAUGGAUGAAGCAAUGUGUUCUUUUAGCGGACUUUUAUAUCUUUGCAUAGUUUUUGCUCUUCAAAAUGAAGCUUGGAAUAUUUCAGAAUUUUUUAGCAAACUUAAGUUUCAUGUACGACAGAUUGUCAUUGGAAAUAGAUAAAUUUUGUUGUAGAAGUUUUAUGUCAGACUUACUAUCUUGUAAACUAAGUUUAUGUAUGUUUGAACUUAAACCUGGAUGGCUGAUUCAACACUUUCUUCUUUGUCGUUGUGAA